rnacentral:rRNA from 1 species
AUUGAACGCUGGCGGCAGGCCUAACACAUGCAAGUCGAGCGGAUGAAGGGAGCUUGCUCCUGGAUUCAGAGGCGGACGGGUGUGUAAUGCCUAGGAAUCUGCCUGGUAGUGGGGGAUAACGUCCGGAAACGGGCGCUAAUACUGCAUACGUCCUGCGGGUGCAAGUGGGGGAUCUUCGGACCUCUCGCUCUCAGAUGAGCCUAGGUCGGAUUAGCUAGUUGGUGGGGUUAAGGCCUACCAAGGCGACGAUCCGUAACUGGUCUGAGUGGAUGAUCAGUCACACUGGAACGUGGACAGGGUCCAGAGGCCUACGGGAGGCAGCAGUGGGGAAUAUGGGACAGUGGGCGAAAGCCUGAUCCAGCCAUGGCGAGUGUGUGGAGAAGGUCUUCGGAUUGGAAAGCACGUUAAGUUGGGGGGAGGGGCAGUAGGUUGAUACCUUGCUGGAUUGACGUUACCAACAGAAUAAGCACCGGCUAACUUCGUG